CCUACGGGAGGCAGCAGUGGGGAAUAUUGGGCAAUGGGCGCAAGCCUGACCCAGCAACGCCGCGUGAAGGAAGAAGGCCUUCGGGUUGUAAACUUCUUUUGUCAGGGACGAAGAAAGUGACGGUACCUGACGAAUAAGCCACGGCUAACUACGUGCCAGCAGCCGCGGUAAUACGUAGGUGGCAAGCGUUGUCCGGAUUUACUGGGUGUAAAGGGCGUGCAGCCGGAGAGACAAGUCAGAUGUGAAAUCCGCGGGCUCAACCCGCGAACUGCAUUUGAAACUGUUUCCCUUGAGUAUCGGAGAGGUCAUCGGAAUUCCUAGUGUAGCGGUGAAAUGCGUAGAUAUUAGGAAGAACACCAGUGGCGAAGGCGGAUGACUGGACGACAACUGACGGUGAGGCGCGAAAGCGUGGGGAGCAAACAGGAUUAGAUACCCGUGUAGUC
rnacentral:rRNA from 1 species